UCAAACUUGGUCAUUUAGAGGAAGUACAAGUCGUAACAAGGUAUCCGUAGGUGAACCUGCGGAUGGAUCAUUACCAAAGGAUUAAUCUCCGUGUCUUGUGAACUGUUUUGAUCGACAGUCAGCGGGCUGUGUAAGUGAGCGACAUGCUUACUGUAGCAGAAGUGUUACAGUAGGCCUUACUGUAGGGGUUUGACGCGAUCCGUUAGUUACUAUAGCUUACGGCAGUGUUUUACCUUACGGUAGGCUUACGGUAGCUACCGCUGGCUGUACAAACAAACGUACUGCUUUUAGCAAGCCUGAUGUCUUUUAAGUUGUAUAACUAAGACAACUUUUAGCAAUGGAUCUCUUGGCUCUUGCAUCGAUGAAGAACGCAGC
rnacentral:misc_RNA from 1 species